UACGGGGGGGGGCAAGCGUUGUUCGGAAUUACUGGGCGUAAAGCGCACGUAGGCGGAUCUUUAAGUCAGGGGUGAAAUCCUGGAGCUCAACUCCAGAACUGCCUUUGAUACUGAGGGUCUUGAGUUCGGGAGAGGUGAGUGGAACUGCGAGUGUGGAGGUGAAAUUCAUAGAUAUUCGCAAGAACACCAGUGGCGAAGGCGGCUCACUGGCCCGAUACUGACGCUGAGGUGCGAAAGCGUGGGGAGCAAACAGG
rnacentral:rRNA from 1 species